CGAAACGAAGGAAAACUUAUUAGUCAUUUAAAUCUCGACAGCCAAAUUAUUUUUAGAGAACAUCUUUGUAUAUCGAAGUACUGUGCUUUUUCGGGUUUAGAUGUUUUUAACUAAAGGAAAAGAUAACAAAAGUAAUCGUAAAUCUGAAGAAGCACAGCGGUCUCGCCCAAUGAACGUACACGCAAUAAGACUGAUUGGAUGGGACUAGUUCAAGAUGACCUUUGACAGUUCAAAGCAGUUUUUUGUUCUUGUAACUUGCUGACUACGAAUAUUAUGACACAAGUAUUUUAUUGUGUGUCAGCUACGGUUAAGGAGGAAUUAGUGCUGCACACCUUCCCAAUGGACUUUGUGGAUAAUUUGGUAUUUGACAGGUCAAGCUGCCAAACAGAAUAACAGGCAUUGAUCAGGUUAUAGAAAAGUCCUGAUCCAUCAAGAAAAGAAGAAAUAGAUUAUGCUGAUGUGCUUAAGGGCUGCUUCUUGAUUAUGUCAGAACAUUCAGUCUGCAUGGAAGAAUACUGAAAGUUCUGGUAAUCUAAUAUAGCAUGAUUGUACAUGCCCAUUUAUGAAAGAACAUCUGUGUAAUUAGGUUAUUAAAGGCAGUUUUUGGUUGCAUGAUUAUAAAAAUGCAUGCACAUUCCGUUUAGCAAGAAGAUAAUUGUAAUGCUUUGAGAUGUCUGCUUUGUUGUAAAAACUACAAACUUAAAAUGUUUUAGGAUUUUUAACAAUUUACAAUGUACUUUUAAGUAAAGCUAUCAAUAAAACAAGUAGGAA